AAAUAAAUAAUUUCGAGUGCAAUUGGGAGCGCAUGUGACACGAAAAACAAAGAAGACUAAUUAAAAGCACUACACAAGAUCUGAAAAUUUUAGAUUUGCGGCGGCUGACCACCCCCUCUAAUCUCGCCACCAAUCACUCAUCCACAUGAUAUUUUUCAACCCCUUUUUUUUUAAAAGGCCCUUUUAUCACCGAAUAAAGAAAUAUCAAUUUAAAAUAUAUAGCUCGAACUCCGGAAAGCAAGCGUGUGAAAGCGGGAGAUCGUCGAAACAUGACAAAAAGGGAAAAUCAACUUCGAGCCAUUCCCGGGCGUUGCACCAACAUCAUCUUCUUCCCCCCACUUUCAUGCGCCAUUUGAGAUUAUAAUAAGAACAACACGAACACCGGUACGAGGGUAUCGCGCAGGAACACAAGGGCAGCAAUUUACGAGGAGAGACAUCAUCGGACGAACGAAAGAAAUGGAAGUUUUUUCAUCUGUAAUAUGCAGGUGAUGUUCAGACAGUUAGGAGAUAGGAAGAAUGAGAUUGGAUUCAAGCCAAGAUGCUAUCAUUUACAGAUAAUAAUCACAAGCGAAAAGAAGAACAGGAAAACCCCAGAAGGAAAAAAAGAAGUAAAACUAUAUUCGUGUGAUGUUCAUAUUUUUUUUUCUUUUUUUUUGGGAGGGAAACAUUAUGCAUGGGGAUUGUAUCACAUUCCUCAGCUACGUCCCUCUGCCAUCAUCGGUUCGAUCAUCUGUUCAUCGUAAUAUGCGUAAAAAUUCCCUACCUCCUGUUCUUGAUUUCUUAAACUGUCUUUAGAGAGAAUGGUGUUGGUGAUUAUAUCAA